AGGACGAACGCUGGCGGCGUGCUUAACACAUGCAAGUCGAGCGGUAAGGCCCUUUCGGGGGUACACGAGCGGCGAACGGGUGAGUAACACGUGAGCAAUCUGCCCUUCACUUCGGGAUAGCCUCGGAAACGGGGUCUAAUACCGGAUAUGACCGCGCUACGCAUGUGGUGUGGUGGAAAGUUCUGGCGGUGGAGGAGUGAGCUCGCGGCCUAUCAGCUUGUUGGUGGGGUAAUGGCCUACCAAGGCUUCGGACGGGUAGCCGGCC
rnacentral:rRNA from 1 species